ACCUACGGGUGGCAGCAGUUGGGAAUCUUGCACAAUGGGGGAAACCCUGAUGCAGCGACGCCGCGUGGAGGAUGAAGGAUCUAGGUCUGUAAACUCCUUUUAUCGGGAAAGACUUAGGACGGUACCCGAUGAAUAAGCACCGGCUAACUACGUGCCAGCAGCCGCGGUGAGACGUAGGGUGCAAGCGUUGUCCGGAUUUACUGGGCGUAAAGAGCGCGUAGGCGGUCUGUUAAGUGUAGAGUGAAAGCUCCGGGCUCAACCUGGAAAUUGCUCUGCAUACUGGCAGACUUGAGGAAUGGAGAGGUUUGUGGAAUUCCUGGUGUAGCGGUGAAAUGCAUUGAUAUCAGGAGGAACACCGAUGGCGAAGGCAGCAAACUGGCCAUUAUCUGACGCUGAGGCGCGAAAGCGUGGGUAGCAAACAGGAUUAGAUACCCUGGUAGUCCACGCCCUAAACGAUGUCGAUUAGCUGUUGGGCAACUUGAUUGCUUAGUAGCGAAGCUAACGCGUGAAAUCGACCGCCUGGGGAGUACGGUCGCAAGAUUAAAACUCAAAGGAAUUGACGGGGACCCGCACAAGCGGUGGACGAUGUGGUUUAAUUCGAUGCAACGCGAAAAACCUUACCUACCCUUGACAUGCCAGGAAUCCUGAAGAGAUUUGGGAGUGCUCGAAAGAGAGCCUGGACACAGGUGCUGCAUGGCCGUCGUCAGCUCGUGUCGUGAGAUGUUGGGUUAAGUCCCGCAACGAGCGCAACCCUCGCGAUUAGUUGCCAUCAGGUUUGGCUGGGCACUCUAAUCGUACUGCCGGAGUUAAUCCGGAGGAAGGCGGGGAUGACGUCAAGUCCUCAUGGCCCUUACAAGGUGGGCUACACACGUGCUACAAUGGCGACUACAGAGGGCUGCAAUCCCGCGAGGGGGAGCCAAUCCCUAAAAGUCGUCUCAGUUCGGAUUGUUCUCUGCAACUCGAGAGCAUGAAGUUGGAAUCGC
rnacentral:rRNA from 1 species